UACGGAGGGGGCUAGCGUUGUUCGGAAUUACUGGGCGUAAAGCGCGCGUAGGCGGACCUGCAAGUCGGGGGUGAAAGCCCGAGGCUCAACCUCGGAACUGCCUUCGAUACUGCGGGUCUCGAGUCCGGGAGAGGUGAGUGGAAUUCCUAGUGUAGAGGUGAAAUUCGUAGAUAUUAGGAAGAACACCAGUGGCGAAGGCGGCUCGCUGGGACGGUACUGACGCUGAGGCGCGAAAGCGUGGGGAGCGAACAGG
rnacentral:rRNA from 1 species